UACGGAGGGUGCAAGCGUUAUCCGGAUUUACUGGGUUUAAAGGGUGUGUAGGCGGGUCUAUAAGUCAGUGGGGAAAUCUCCGGGCUCAACCCGGAAACUGCCAUUGAUACUAUAGGUCUUGAAUAUUGUGGAGGUGGGCGGAAUGUGUCAUGUAGCGGUGAAAUGCUUAGAGAUGACACAGAACACCGAUUGCGAAGGCAGCCCACUACGCAACUAUUGACGCUGAGGCACGAAAGCGUGGGGAUCAAACAGG
rnacentral:rRNA from 1 species